AUGCCUUAAACUUAUGAGUAAGGAAAAUAACAAUCUGGGUUAUGCCCAAAUCCUCACUACUACUGUGAGAGGAAGUUUUGAGCAGGUAAAGUUUGCCCCUAAGGUGACCUGCCUGGGAGUCACAACCUGCCCA
ensembl:snRNA U12 U12 minor spliceosomal RNA